GCGUGAGAACAUGCCUUUAGAUUGGGGACAACAGUUGGAAACGACUGCUAAUACCGAAUGUGCCUUAGGGUGAAAGAUUUAUUGUCUAGAGAUUGGCUCGCGUCAGAUUAGCUAGUUGGAGUGGUAACGGCACACCAAGGCGACGAUCUGUACUUGGUCUGAGAGGAUGACCAGGCACACUGGAACUGAGACACGGUCCAGACUCCUACGGGAGGCAGCAGUGGGGAAUUUUCCGCAAUGGGCGAAAGCCUGACGGAGCAAUACCGCGUGAGGGAGGACGGCUUUUGGGUUGUAAACCUCUUUUAUCAGGGAAGAAUCGAUGACGGUACCUGAUGAAUCAGCAUCGGCUAACUCCGUGCCAGCAGCCGCGGUAAUACGGAGGAUGCAAGCGUUAUCCGGAAUUAUUGGGCGUAAAGCGUCCGUAGGUGGUUUAUCAAGUCUGCUGUCAAAGCGUGCGGCUUAACCGCAUAAGGGCAGUGGAAACUGAUGAACUAGAGUGCGAUAGGGGUAACAGGAAUUCCCAGUGUAGCGGUGAAAUGCGUAGAUC
rnacentral:rRNA from 1 species